GUGGGGAAUUUUGGACAAUGGGCGAAAGCCUGAUCCAGCAAUGCCGCGUGUGUGAAGAAGGCCUUCGGGUUGUAAAGCACUUUUGGCAGGGAAGAAACAGUGCGUGCUAAUACCAUGCGCGAAUGACGGUACCUGCAGAAUAAGCACCGGCUAACUACGUGCCAGCAGCCGCGGUAAUACGUAGGGUGCAAGCGUUAAUCGGAAUUACUGGGCGUAAAGCGUGCGCAGGCGGCUUUGUAAGACGGAUGUGAAAGCCCCGGGCUCAACCUGGUAAGUGCAGUCGUGACGGCAAGGCUAGAGUGUGUCAGAGGGAGGGGGAAUUCCGCGUGUAGCAGUGAAAUGCGUAGAGAUGCGGAGGAACACCGAUGGCGAAGGCAGCCUCCUGGGCUAACACUGACGCUCAGGCACGAAAGCGUGGGGAGCAAACAGGAUUAGACACCCGAGUAGUCC
rnacentral:rRNA from 1 species